rnacentral:rRNA from 1 species
UUAAGCGACUAAGCGUACACGGUGGAUGCCCUGGCAGUCAGAGGCGAUGAAGGGCGUGCUAAUCUGCGAUAAGCGCCGGUAAGGUGAUAUGAACCGUUAUAACCGGCGAUACCCGAAUGGGGAAACCCAGUGUGAUUCGUCACACUAUCAUUAACUGAAUCCAUAGGUUAAUGAGGCGAACCGGGGGAACUGAAACAUCUAAGUACCCCGAGGAAAAGAAAUCAACCGAGAUUCCCCCAGUAGCGGCGAGCGAACGGGGAGGAGCCCAGAGCCUGAAUCAGCAUGUGUGUUAGUGGAAGCGUCUGGAAAGGUGCGCGAUACAGGGUGACAGCCCCGUACACAAAAGCGCAUGUGCUGUGAGCUCGAUGAGUAGGGCGGGACACGUGGUAUCCUGUCUGAAUAUGGGGGGACCAUCCUCCAAGGCUAAAUACUCCUGACUGACCGAUAGUGAACCAGUACCGUGAGGGAAAGGCGAAAAGAACCCCGGCGAGGGGAGUGAAAAAGAACCUGAAACCGUGUACGUACAAGCAGUGGGAGCACAGGUUUACCUGUGUGACUGCGUACCUUUUGUAUAAUGGGUCAGCGACUUAUAUUCUGUAGCAAGGUUAACCGUAUAGGGGAGCCGGAGGGAAACCGAGUCUUAACCGGGCGUUAAGUUGCAGGGUAUAGACCCGAAACCCGGUGAUCUAGCCAUGGGCAGGUUGAAGGUUGGGUAACACUAACUGGAGGACCGAACCGACUAAUGUUGAAAAAUUAGCGGAUGACCUGUGGCUGGGGGUGAAAGGCCAAUCAAACCGGGAGAUAGCUGGUUCUCCCCGAAAGCUAUUUAGGUAGCGCCUCGUGAAUUCAUCUCCGGGGGUAGAGCACUGUUUCGGCUAGGGGGCCAUCCCGGCUUACCAACCCGAUGCAAACUGCGAAUACCGGAGAAUGUUAUCACGGGAGACACACGGCGGGUGCUAACGUCCGUCGUGAAGAGGGAAACAACCCAGACCGCCAGCUAAGGUCCCAAAGUCAUGGUUAAGUGGGAAACGAUGUGGGAAGGCCCAGACAGCCAGGAUGUUGGCUUAGAAGCAGCCAUCAUUUAAAGAAAGCGUAAUAGCUCACUGGUCGAGUCGGCCUGCGCGGAAGAUGUAACGGGGCUAAACCAUGCACCGAAGCUGCGGCAGCGAACGUAUCACCCAAGACAACUUUACGGAGUUGACGAUUGACGGAGCGAAGCGACGUCAAAGCGUUCAUUAAAGUCGAGUUGGCUUAGGGAUACGUUCGUUGGGUAGGGGAGCGUUCUGUAAGCCUGUGAAGGUGUGUCGUGAGGCAUGCUGGAGGUAUCAGAAGUGCGAAUGCUGACAUAAGUAACGAUAAAGCGGGUGAAAAGCCCGCUCGCCGGAAGACCAAGGGUUCCUGUCCAACGUUAAUCGGGGCAGGGUGAGUCGACCCCUAAGGCGAGGCCGAAAGGCGUAGUCGAUGGGAAACGGGUUAAUAUUCCCGUACUUGGUGUUACUGCGAAGGGGGGACGGAGAAGGCUAUGUUGGCCGGGCGACGGUUGUCCCGGUUUAAGCGUGUAGGUGUGUGUUCCAGGUAAAUCCGGUUCACUUUAACACUGAGGCGUGACGACGAGGCACUACGGUGCUGAAGCAACAAAUGCCCUGCUUCCAGGAAAAGCCUCUAAGCAUCAGGUAACAUCAAAUCGUACCCCAAACCGACACAGGUGGUCAGGUAGAGAAUACCAAGGCGCUUGAGAGAACUCGGGUGAAGGAACUAGGCAAAAUGGUGCCGUAACUUCGGGAGAAGGCACGCUGACACGUAGGUGAAGUGAUUUACUCAUGGAGCUGAAGUCAGUCGAAGAUACCAGCUGGCUGCAACUGUUUAUUAAAAACACAGCACUGUGCAAACACGAAAGUGGACGUAUACGGUGUGACGCCUGCCCGGUGCCGGAAGGUUAAUUGAUGGGGUCAGCGCAAGCGAAGCUCCUGAUCGAAGCCCCGGUAAACGGCGGCCGUAACUAUAACGGUCCUAAGGUAGCGAAAUUCCUUGUCGGGUAAGUUCCGACCUGCACGAAUGGCGUAAUGAUGGCCAGGCUGUCUCCACCCGAGACUCAGUGAAAUUGAACUCGCUGUGAAGAUGCAGUGUACCCGCGGCAAGACGGAAAGACCCCGUGAACCUUUACUAUAGCUUGACACUGAACAUUGAGCCUUGAUGUGUAGGAUAGGUGGGAGGCUUUGAAGUGUGGACGCCAGUCUGCAUGGAGCCGACCUUGAAAUACCACCCUUUAAUGUUUGAUGUUCUAACGUGGACCCGUAAUCCGGGUUGCGGACAGUGUCUGGUGGGUAGUUUGACUGGGGCGGUCUCCUCCUAAAGAGUAACGGAGGAGCACGAAGGUUGGCUAAUCCUGGUCGGACAUCAGGAGGUUAGUGCAAUGGCAUAAGCCAGCUUGACUGCGAGCGUGACGGCGCGAGCAGGUGCGAAAGCAGGUCAUAGUGAUCCGGUGGUUCUGAAUGGAAGGGCCAUCACUCAACGGAUAAAAGGUACUCCGGGGAUAACAGGCUGAUACCGCCCAAGAGUUCAUAUCGACGGCGGUGUUUGGCACCUCGAUGUCGGCUCAUCACAUCCUGGGGCUGAAGUAGGUCCCAAGGGUAUGGCUGUUCGCCAUUUAAAGUGGUACGCGAGCUGGGUUUAGAACGUCGUGAGACAGUUCGGUCCCUAUCUGCCGUGGGCGCUGGAGAACUGAGGGGGGCUGCUCCUAGUACGAGAGGACCGGAGUGGACGCAUCACUGGUGUUCGGGUUGUCAUGCCAAUGGCACUGCCCGGUAGCUAAAUGCGGAAGAGAUAAGUGCUGAAAGCAUCUAAGCACGAAACUUGCCCCGAGAUGAGUUCUCCCUGAGACUUAGAGUCUCCUGAAGGAACGUUGAAGACGACGACGUUGAUAGGCCGGGUGUGUAAGCGCAGCGAUGCGUUGAGCUAACCGGUACUAAUGAACCGUGAGGCUUAACCUU